rnacentral:piRNA from 1 species
UAAGUUUGCGUCCGCACUUAUUGCCAGUUC